rnacentral:lncRNA from 7 species
UCAUUGAAGGGUUGGGUCCCACAAGGGAAGUUGUGUCUUUUGGAUUAUUUGGCAAGCCCUUGGAGAAAGAUUGAUGCCACACCUGGUUCUCUCUUGCCCUAGGCAGGCAUUUACACCCACCCAUGGGAAGCAAGCACUGAAGGAAGUGUAGGUGGAGGCGCAACCCGAUGCUCUUGCAGCAUGCAGGCAAGGAGAAGCAGAAGUUUGCUCCCAGUGGUGGGAAACUGAAAACACGUGGGGAUUGAAGUACAAAAAAGCUUUAUGGUAUGACUGAACUGGUUGAAAUAGAGCCUGUGUUGUGUCUUCUCCUUAUCUCCUCUCACCAGUAUCAAGGCUGGUUCUGUGGCAGGAUGUGCAGACCGCUGGGCUGCUUUCUCUGCAGAAGUGCAAGGGGAGAUGGAGGCCAUCCGCAUAAAGGGGACUGCACACAAUACCCUUGGUGCCCACCAUGAGGUGAAGACUCAACCAGACCCUACACAUGAGCAUCACAGCAUAUGCAGACAUAAAGGAGGAGGAGUAGAACAAGCUGGGCAUCAGUGUGCAUCUGCAGUGAAGGCAACAGGAGCACUAUCUCUACAUAAUUAACUUAAAGCAGAAUUGGCUUUUUAUGGAUGUUUGGCAACACUUACAAAUAAUGGUGCAAUAAUUAAAGAUGCAUUACAAAGAAUCUCAGCUGGAAGCAGACUUUUCAUCACACCCUAAUACCCCAUUAGAUCUUCCAGGAAUAAAUCUUUUUUUUUCUACAGUUCUGUGGGUCACAAAUUAAUUAAACUGACUGAGACACACCUCUUCUCUUGUUUCCAAAAAAUAGUGUAAUGCAGUGCAGAUUAAUGUUGAAAUGAAUACCUUCUGCAUUUUUCAGCAAUUACCUCUUCUUUUUCUUUAAUAAAAUUGGGUAUUUUAUUAUAAU